CGGGUGAGUAACACGUGGAUAACCUACCUAUAAGACUGGGAUAACUUCGGGAAACCGGAGCUAAUACCGGAUAAUAUUUUGAACCGCAUGGUUCAAAAGUGAAAGACGGUCUUGCUGUCACUUAUAGAUGGAUCCGCGCUGCAUUAGCUAGUUGGUAAGGUAACGGCUUACCAAGGCAACGAUGCAUAGCCGACCUGAGAGGGUUAUCGGCCACACUGGAACUGAGACACGGUCCAG
rnacentral:rRNA from 1 species